rnacentral:rRNA from 1 species
CACGUAGGAGACGAGCGUUGUCCGGAAUUACUGGGCGUAAAGCGCGUGUAGGCGGAUGAGCAAGUCUGCUGUGAAAGCUCCUGGCUUAACCGGGAGUGGUCGGUGGAAACUGCUCGUCUGGAGGACGGUAGAGGUAGGUAGAAUUCCCGGUGUAGUGGUGAAAUGCGUAGAGAUCGGGAGGAAUACCUGUGGCGAAGGCGGCCUACUGGGCCGGACCUGACGCUGAGACGCGAAGGCGUGGGGAGCGAACGGG